UACAGAGGUCCCAAGCGUUGUUCGGAUUCAUUGGGCGUAAAGGGCGCGUAGGCGGCGCCGUAAGUCGGGUGUGAAAUUUCGGAGCUUAACUCCGAAACUGCAUUCGAUACUGCGGUGCUUGAGGACUGGAGAGGAGACUGGAAUUUACGGUGUAGCAGUGAAAUGCGUAGAGAUCGUAAGGAACAUCAGUGGCGAAAGCGGCUUCCUGGUCCAGCAUCGACGUUCAGGCACGAAAGCGUGGGGAGCAAACAGG
rnacentral:rRNA from 1 species